rnacentral:rRNA from 1 species
CCUACGGGAGGCUGCAGUGGGGGAUAUUGGACAAUGGGGGGAACCCUGAUCCAGCGACGCCGCGUGAGUGAAGAAGUAUUUCGGUAUGUAAAGCUCUGUCAGCAGGGAAGAAAGAAAUGACGGUACCUGACCAAGAAGCCCCGGCUAACUACGUGCCAGCAGCCGCGGUAAUACGUAGGGGGCAAGCGUUAUCCGGAAUUACUGGGUGUAAAGGGGGCGUAGACGGUUAAGUAAGUCUGGAGUGAAAGGCCGGGGCCCAACCCCGGGACUGCUCUGGAAACUAUUGAACUUGAGUGCAGGAGAGGUAAGCGGAAUUCCCAGGGUAGCGGUGAAAUGCGUAGAUAUUAGGAGGAACACCAGUGGCGAAGGCGGCUUACUGGACUGUAACUGACGUUGAGGCUCGAAAGCGUGGGGAGCAAACAGGAUUAGAUACCCCGGUAGUC